rnacentral:rRNA from 1 species
UAGUUGGUGGGGUAAAGGCCUACCAAGGCGACGAUCUGUAGCUGGUCUGAGAGGACGACCAGCCACACUGGAACUGAGACACGGUCCAGACUCCUACGGGAGGCAGCAGUGGGGAAUUUUGGACAAUGGGCGCAAGCCUGAUCCAGCCAUUCCGCGUGAGUGAAGAAGGCCUUCGGGUUGUAAAGCUCUUUCGGCAGGGAAGAAACGGCGGGUGCUAAUACCACCCGUUAAUGACGGUACCUGAAGAAGAAGCACCGGCUAACUACGUGCCAGCAGCCGCGGUAAUACGUAGGGGGCGAGCGUUAAUCGGAAUUACUGGGCGUAAAGCGUGCGUAGGCGGUUUUGUAAGACAGGUGUGAAAUCCCCGGGCUCAACCUGGGAACUGCGCUUGUGACUGCAAGACUCGAGUACGGCAGAGGGGGGUGGAAUUCCACGUGUAGCAGUGAAAUGCGUAGAGAUGUGGAGGAACACCGAUGGCGAAGGCAGCCCCCUGGGUCGAUACUGACGCUGAGGCACGAAAGCGUGGGGAGCAAACAGGAUUAGAUACCCUGGUAGUCCACGCCCUAAACGAUGCCAACUAGGUGUUGGGGAAGGAGACUUCCUUAGUACCGUAGCUAACGCGUGAAGUUGGCCGCCUGGGGAGUACGGUCGCAAGAUUAAAACUCAAGGAAUUGACGGGGACCCGCACAAGCGGUGGAUGAUGUGGAUUAAUUCGAUGCAACGCGAAAAACCUUACCUACCCUUGACAUGCCAGGAACUUUCCAGAGAUGGAUUGGUGCCCGAAAGGGAGCCUGGACACAGGUGCUGCAUGGCUGUCGUCAGCUCGUGUCGUGAGAUGUUGGGUUAAGUCCCGCAACGAGCGCAACCCUUGUCAUUAGUUGCCAUCAUUCAGUUGGGCACUCUAAUGAAACUGCCGG